rnacentral:rRNA from 1 species
UACGUAGGAUCCGAGCGUUGUCCGGAAUUACUGGGUGUAAAGGGCGUGUAGGUGGGUUCCUAAGUCGAUGGUGAAAUCCUGCAGCUUAACUGCAGAACUGCCUUCGAUACUGGGGAUCUUGAGUGCGGCAGAGGGAGAUGGAAUUCAUGGUGUAGCGGUGAAAUGUGUAGAUAUCAUGAAGAACACCGGUAGCGAAGGCGGUCUCCUGGUCCGCAACUGACACUGAGGCGCGAAAGCGUGGGGAGCAAACAGG